GGACUCGGUAAAACGCCUUACACACAUCAUAAAUACGGGAAAUAUUCCCUUUGCCAGAAUACAGAAAUUCCAAAUACUCCAUUAAUUCUUUAACAAAUUCACAGUGAUUAAUAAGACUAAUCACCUCACUAUGAAUAGAAUUUCGAAUUUGCAGAAACAAACGAGCAUCAUCCCUCAUCCAAUCUCUACGAGUUUCAUCAGUUGGAGGAUCCUUGGUAAGAUGAUCAUCCAUUGCAAUACUUCGUAAAUAAAUACGGAUAGUCUUACUCCAAUCUAAAAAAUUAGAUCCAUUUAAUUUGUGUUCCGUGAUUUUAGUCAUCACAGGAAUCACAUCAGUUACGGUGGUUUUAACUUCAGCCAUCAAAACAACCAACCCAAAACAAUCAAAAUAGCAAAGGAUCAGAAGAACAGUACCCGUGAACAGUACCGAUGAACAGUACCCGUGAAUAGUACCGAUGAACAGUACCGCGAACAGUGCCGAUAAACAGUGCCGUGAACAGUGCCGAUAAACAGUGCCGAUGAACAGUACCGUGAACAGUGCCGAUGAAGAGAUCCAAAUGUUACCCUUUAUGGAUAACUCAAAUGAACGGAGCCCUAAGUCUCCAAAAAAAAUUUUAAAACUUGACGAGAGAGGAGGAAAAAAAAAUCUCUAUGAGAAAGGCUCUGAUACCAUGUAGAAAGAUAAUAUUUGUUGUAUUUCACAAUAGAGAUUACAACCUAUUUAUACAUGAGAGACGGUAUCUAAACAGGAAGAAAAAUCAAGCCUAUGAUUAUGCAAUCCCUAAAAUUAAGUAACUAACCCAUCUAUCAAUAUUUACUUCCUAUAUUAACAUAUUUACUUCCUAUAACCUAUAACACAC
rnacentral:lncRNA from 1 species